GAUCCUGGCUCCGGAUGAACGCUAGCUACAGGCUUAACACAUGCAAGUCGAGGGGCAGCAUGUAUCUGGCUUGCCAGAUACGAUGGCGACCGGCGCACGGGUGAGUAACGCGUAUCCGACCUGCCGCACACUCCGGGAUAGCCUUGCGAAAGCAAGUUUAAUACCGGAUGCCGUAAGGACGCCGCAUGGUGUUUUUACGAAAGGGGUUUACCGGUGUGCGAUGGGGAUGCGUCCCAUUAGCUUG
rnacentral:rRNA from 1 species